CCUACGGGUGGCAGCAGUGAGGAAUAUUGGUCAAUGGACGAGAGUCUGAACAAGCCAAGUAGCGUGAAGGAUGACUGCCCUAUGGGUUGUAAACUUCUUUUAUAUGGGAAUAAAAUGUUCCACGUGUGGGAUUUUGUAUGUACCAUAUGAAUAAGGAUCGGCUAACUCCGUGCCAGCAGCCGCGGUAAUACGGAGGAUCCGAGCGUUAUCCGGAUUUAUUGGGUUUAAAGGGAGCGUAGGUGGAUGGUUAAGUCAGUUGUGAAAGUUUGCGGCUCAACCGUAAAAUUGCAGUUGAAACUGGCAGUCUUGAGUACAGUAGAGGUGGGCGGAAUUCGUGGUGUAGCGGUGAAAUGCUUAGAUAUCACGAAGAACUCCGAUUGCGAAGGCAGUUCACUGGACUGCAACUGACACUGAGGCUCGAAAGUGUGGGUAUCAAACAGGAUUAGAUACCCGAGUAGUC
rnacentral:rRNA from 1 species